UGUUCUUUUUGUUUGUAUUUUUUAAUAAGCCCUAUGUAGACACAAGUGUGUUGUUCAAAGAGUACAGGGGUCUGACGAAUUUGACUCCUAUACGAAUAGUAUGCAUAGUGCACACAUACCUAGAUAUCUAUGAAUAGUAUGUUGAUCUAGUUUUUUAUAUCUUACAUACGAUAUAUCAUAUUGAUUUUUACAAUGCAUUUGCUGAUGAAUUUAAAGUUAUUUAUCUAUCUGAUAUGCAUUCAUUUAUUGACUAAAUUCAAUUAGUUGCAUAAAUAGAAUAGGCAAUUUACAAACCUUUAUUUAUAAUAUGAAUUCAUAGUAGCACAUUCAAGAGCACACAAUGACUCACAAUUUGAAUUAAUUUAAAGACUGGAAAAAUUUGUAAUUUGUGUACUUAUACAAUAAGCAUCCAUAUCUAUGUGUAAAUAUACAUAUUAGUGCUGAGGAUGGGUUUGGAAAUCCUAGACUGGUCUGAGAUCGUUAUAAUUGUAAGUAAAUUGUCCUAGUUCAAUCUAUUCCAGUCUUGUAAAAAUCGUUUCUACAUCACGGUCUUAACUCGCUAAUACAAAAAUGUACAGUAUAUUUUCUGAACGUUGAUUGGUUGCAAUGUAAUUAGUGCUGUAAAUGAUUUCCAUCAAUUACUGAAACAUAAUUUCAUAGUCUGGAAGAAUUGGUUAGAUCAUAGGUCGGCAAACCCUGGGCUGCGGGUCAUAUCGGCCCGUGAUUGAAUGAUGACCCGCCCUCCCCCGAUCUUAUCAUGGACAAUCAUCUAAAUAUUGGCAUACUAAUCCAAAAUGAUAGUUGAGAACCUUCAGAAAUUUCCCUAUUGCACCCAGGGAGUCAAAUAUGGAUUUUCCCUUUAAAUUGUCGUUAUAUUUCAUUUCUUUAUUAUAAUCCUGUAGUAAAAAAAUAAAGUUAUUGUUUAAAUAAAAUAAAAUUGAAUCCUUGUUUUCUCUAAACACCCAGAAAUUCAAUUAUAUAUUCAAUAACAUGGUUUUCCACCAUGGCUCUGCAGCGAUAGCUGUUUGGCUCCUACUCUAAAAACGGUUGCUGACCCCUAGGUUAGAUACUAACUGAUUUCAGGCCCUAAUCUUCUUAUUUUUUGUAUUUAUUUAUUGAAAAGGUUGUACGCUCCAAUAAAGGCAACAAAGUCACAAAAACGACGUUUCUGUUUUUAGAAAAGAAAAGAAAAAAUCUUUAUCGUUACCUUCUUUUCAAAAUAAAUGUUGUUCCAGAUCGGUCUAGAAAAAAAAUUGAAGACAGAACGGGGAAAAAAAUCGGUCUUGGACCAAUACAAGUAAUUGUGUACAAAUCAAGAUUUCCGUUAAUUAGGUUUGAAAUGUGUGAUUUCUUAUGCGAAUAAUAAACGACACUUAGUUGCUAGUUAUUUAUCCCCUGUGGAGGUCAAAAAUGUUACCGUUACAGACUGCUAUGAAGGAAUAGGAAUACAUGUUGUAUUGAAUAGAGAACAAAUGUGAAAAAAAAAAAAAAAUGCUAACAUAUUUUUUUAUUUCACCUAUAUUAAUUUUAGCGAGUAUUUGUGAAACAAUUGUUUUUCGCGAUGGUAUUUCUAUGGAACAUGAUAUCAUUAUAAUUCUAUUUCUAAAGUAUAUGUAAAUGGCUGAAUAUCUCUAAAUGAAUUCUAAAAUUUGAAUCGAGUACAAUAUUUAUAUCAUUGUAAUACAUUUAUUGAUUGUAAGCCCUUCAUUAGUUACACCACUACUUAUUUGUUAAAUUACAUGCUCAGUGAAUAAAUUCAUAUAUAGGUAGUUCAAUAAGUACUUCUCCUAAUUAAAAUUCAAUAGAUCAUUUAAAGCUCUGUUGAUAUCUGUCAUUUGUACUAUAAAAGUACUUGUCAUUAACUUUAUAUUAUCUCUCAAGAGAAUUAAUAGAAGAAGUUUUCACUUUUCCAUCCACCUAUAUUUUCAUGUUGAUGUCAAACUAUGAUUUAUUACAUACACAUUUAUUGUCCAUAAAUGUUCAAAUAUAAUUUACGGAUACUUAUAAAGUUAUUUAAUAACUUUUAAAUCAAUUUUUUCCUAAUAACAUGACAUCAUACUGACGUUCUAUUCCUUUAUAAAACACUAUAUGAAACCGCUACUUUUGUUAAAGUAAUACAUUUUGGCUAUAUAAACGCCUUUGCGCUUAGAGAUGGAAAAUCUGUAGUCUAUGCUAUAUAAAACUAAAGUCUGUAUCGCAGUUAUUGAAUAUGGAAAUCCUAACGAUAACAAUAUUUUGGUCCAGACCGUGUACCUAAAUUUAAAUAGUAGACGACGUUUUCUACCACUUAGUGAUACUGGGAAUUUAAUAUGAAACAAUUUUUAUUAACAAAAAUUAUUUUAUUCAGUUUUACAGAUCUUGGACUGACCUAUUUUUAAAAUUAUAAUGAUUUUGGACUGGUCUAGGAUUUCCAGAUACGAACUUAAUGCUACAUGCCUAAUAUUUUUGUAUAAAAUAACCUUCUAAAGAGACUUCAAGCAUAAAUCUGACUAAUAACAUAAUUUGAAGACUACCCACAUACACACUGACCCUUGUAACAGAAAAAGUAGUAUUUGUUCACUGCAUGUUCCAAGGAAGAGACAUAAUUACUACAGAUACUUGGAUUUUGUUUUUAAUAUUCAGGCAAACUUUCAUUUCAGGUAAUUGUGUUAAAUCAGAAGAGUAGCCUAAUAUUUAAUUAAAUAGAGUAAUGGUUGUGUUUCUGAUAAUAUAUGCAAAUAUUUAUGUGAAUACAUAUGUUACAUUUGGCAAAACAUUUAACGGAAAUUGAAGAUUUCUUUUUUUUUUUUUUUUUUUUUUUUGUACAAUGAAUAUAUGCCAGACUUGACAAAAAAGUCCAUAGAGAAUAAUGCAUUUCAAUAUAUUUUCCACACUUGUAUAUGCAAUACACUAAAGUAAUUUUUUAUUGUACAUAAAACCAAACCAAAUAUUACCUCCAUUUCCCUGGGUUUGAUUAGUUUUACAUUGAUAAAUAAUGUUAUAUUGAAAUCGAUGCUUGUAAAAUAAGUUAUUUCUAUUGUUCUACCAAUGGUUUUAUAUGACAGUUUACAAGUAAUCAUACCUUGUCAUUAUCUUUACUGUAUCGUAAACCUAUAUUUACUAAAAAGGCCCAAAAUCAGUUGGUAUUCACCAAAUUCAUUUUUUCUACAACUCCCGUUGGUGUCGGCAUAGUACGGAGUAAUUAGGCAUUAACUAAUACAAAAACUUUUAUUCAAUAAUAUAGAAACAGAAAAUAACUUCCCCUUUAAAUCUCUUACUCUCCGUUUUUCAGGAACACACUCACAUGUAGCUACUCAAUACAUGUAUAGCCUCUCCUGAGGAAUGACCUAAUAAUAAUAUUUUCUUGAUAAUUUAAAAAAAAAAUAUGAUGUGAUGAGCCAGGGAGUACUUUAAUCUCUAGAGUGCAGCUUUAGACUUUUAGAGACUUUUUCACGACAAAUAGCAAGAUUUUUUUUUUCAAACACCUCAAUUCAGUCAUAUUGUAUCAACUCACAGAAUACUCAAAUUGUAUCUUAUGUUCACAUGAAAAUGAAAUGCUCUAAUUUCCUUAAUGGGACAUCCUUUUAGAUUGAAUGAAACUAGAGUUGAUGUUAUUACGUAGAUAUUUACAAACAGACAAAUUUUGCUUUAAUAAUAUAUGUAAUUUUUGAUAAUUGUACACAACCUAUAAAGCUUUUUUCCAAAUUUAAACCAAUCAACAUUCAGAACACUGAUAAGGGGUACGGAAAGGGAUAAAUCGACAGUUGACCACAAAACACAGCGUAAAUUUUAAUGUUAUUGUCAUUUGUAUAAGUCUUAUUACUAGCAUUUAUAAAGCUAUGAAUAUAAAUAUCAAUAACUUACAUUGACAUAACUAUUUAUUAAUUAUUUCUGAUAUGUACUUAAAUAAGGCCAUGAUAACGUAAUUAUAGCUUAAAAAAUGAUUAUAUUUUCCUCAUUUUGUCUUACAGAACUUUUUUAUUUGUCAUUUUUUAUCCUACGAGCGACUUGCUUUCUCUAUGACUCACAAAAAAUUUUUCAUGGUGUCAUACCUUGGUAGAGGGAUUUUUUCCCUAGUGUUUCUCCCAUAACGAUCAAUGCCUUGAGUAUGUAUUAAUUCAUUCUAAGCAAUAUGUAGAUAUGGUGUAUUUCAUUGUUGCUAUAUAAACAUAACUGAUCAAUUGGGACAGCACUUUGAGGCUACAGAGUCCAAAAGCAAAGUAUUUUAUAUGUACAUAUAUAAUUUUUGAAAGAUAUUUUUUCUCAAAGUGUUAAUGUAUAUUUCACAGAGUUACAUUGCAAACACAAAUAUUAAAACUGCAUUUUGUUGUCAGCUAUAUAUUUUUUCCCUUCAUUUUCCCUUUAUCACUGUCCUGAACGUUGAUUGGUUCAAUUUGAAUUAGCUCUUGCUUAGCCAAUGAAUAAUUAUUGAAUAUAUUCUGUAGUUGGAAAGAAUUGGUUAACUAACAACUGAUUUUGGGGCUUUUCCCUUUUUUGGAGGAGAAGUGGGAAGAUACAAUAUAUUUAAUCAAGUAAUCUACAUGUAUUACGUAAGGUUGUUGUCAUUGAAGCUCCAAUCUUAUGUAAAAUAAAUGGCUAAACAGGAAGUUGUGUCAGAGACUACAUAUAUCUCAAUAUUUGAUCAUUCAUUAUAACAUCCUUGUUGAAUUGUGAUUAGUUGAUAUUAUAGGUUGAAUAUUCGAUAGAUUAGCUUUUCUAAUCAUUGGGUAAUAAUAAAAAUAAUAAUUUAUCGAACAAAGUGAUUUAAAAAACUUAUCACCAUUUUUUACUCUUUUUAUUAAAUAAUUUAACUGCUUUUCAUAACCUAAAUCUGUAAUUUAUCUAUAAUUGUGAAUCCUAUAUUUAUUUAAACACAUUAGAUAAAUAUAUGAACCAGAAUUUUAUUGCGAAUUCAAAUAUUUAAUUGCAGACAUACCUAUAUUCGCAACCGUAAUAAUUUGUUUUUUUCUCAGAAAAAAAAAAUAAAUUGAGUAUGAAUAAUCGUUAACCUUACGUCCUAUUUUUAUUAAAAAAAAAUACUAUUGUUCGACGAUGGCAU
rnacentral:lncRNA from 1 species